rnacentral:rRNA from 1 species
ACAAGCGGUGGAGUAUGUGGUUUAAUUCGAUGCAACGCGAAGAACCUUACCUGGUCUUGACAUCCCGGAGACCCUUAGGAAACUAGGGGGUGCUUCCAUCUGGAAGAAUCUGGAGACAGGUGCUGCAUGGCUGUCGUCAGCUCGUGUCGUGAGAUGUUGGGUUAAGUCCCGCAACGAGCGCAACCCUUGCCUUUAGUUGCCAGCAGUUCGGCUGGGCACUCUAAAGGGACUGCCGGUGUUAAACCGGAGGAAGGUGGGGAUGACGUCAAGUCAGCAUGGCCUUUAUAUCCUGGGCUACACACACGCUACAAUGGGAAGGGACAAUAGGUUGCGAAGCCGCGAGGCGGAGCCAAUCCAGCAAAACUUCCCUCAGUUCAGAUUGCAGGCUGCAACUCGCCUGCAUGAAGUUGGAGUUGCUAGUAAACGCAGGUCAGCCAUACUGCGUUGAAUACGUUCCCGGGGCUU